rnacentral:rRNA from 1 species
GACGAACGCUGGCGGCGUGCCUAAUACAUGCCAGUUGAGCGCUGAAGGUUGGUACUUGUACCAACUGGAUGAGCAGCGAACGGGUGAGUAACGCGUGGGGAAUCUGCCUUUGAGCGGGGGACAACAUUUGGAAACGAAUGCUAAUACCGCAUAAAAACUUUAAACACAAGUUUUAAGUUUGAAAGAUGCAAUUGCAUCACUCAAAGAUGAUCCCGCGUUGUAUUAGCUAGUCGGUGAGGUAAAGGCUCACCAAGGCGAUGAUACAUAGCCGACCUGAGAGGGUGAUCGGCCACAGUGGGACUGAGACACGGCCCAAACUCCUACGGGAGGCAGCAGUAGGGAAUCUUCGGCAAUGGACGAAAGUCUGACCGAGCAACGCCGCGUGAGUGAAGAAGGUUGUCGGAUCGUAAAACUCUGUUGGUAGAGAAGAACGUUGGUGAGGGUGGAAAGCUCAUCAAGUGACGGUAACUACCCAGAAAGGGACGGCUAACUACGUG